ACAAGUCGUAGCAAGCCAUAGUCUAGCACACAUACAGACUAUGGCUUGCUACGACUUGUGUGUAUGUGUGCUAGACUAUGGCUAGCUACGACUUGUCUGUAUGUGU
rnacentral:pre_miRNA from 1 species